GUGUCCUUUCAGUAUUUGAACUGCUUCAAGAAGGUUUCGUUACACAACUCCUCCAGCUGCACAGCAGCAUUAUUCACAGCACUGCAUUUGCAUAGACAAGCAUCCCAGACCACGAAAACGAUGAUACUGACAUUAAGGGAGUUGAGAUCAGCACAGCACCAAGCGCUGCAAUUUGAGCUGAAGGCACAACACCAGGUCGUGGGAAAGGUGCCAAAAGUGACGCUGGCAUGGAGAAGUUCUCUCGGAGCAGAAGAACAAGAGAAGCAGUACAAACUUUGCCACAUUACUUCAUAACCACGGAAAUGUGAGAAAUCAGCUCCAACAGCCCCUGUGUGUAACACAGCUUCGGAGACCUGCAGCUGGGGUGAGCUGGCACCUCCUGCAUUCCUGCCCUCUGAGCCGACAGCGGCUUCUGGAAACCAAACUGAGCGCAGCCAACCAUUAAAGGAUAAUUACAGCCCUCCUGGCAGGACAGGCCACUCAUUUGCUGCCUCACCUCCAAUUCCUUUGGCCCGCCAUUCCCCCUCAGAAACUCAGCUGAGAACUCAGCUCCCUCCCCUUCAGCCUGCUCAGUGUUUGAGUUAUAAAUCACGAGGCUGAGCAAAUAUCCGACCUGGAGGGACGUGGCAAAGCACGAGUAACCGUGCAGGCAAAAGCAGCAGUUCAGGUCUAACAGCACCUCCUGAACACACCUGGCAGCAGCACGGAGCUGCCAGCCCCAGGCAGGCACGUCCAGGGCUGAGAGCACCAGGCUGGCUCUGUUUGCCCACGCGAUGGCUGUGCUGGGGCUCAGGGCUUUGGAAAGCAUUUUGGGAUCAGCUGUCACAUUAAGAAAAUGUAUUUUGGGAUUUGUACCCGUCUAAAAGGCACCUAUUUGCAAUAAAUAUUUGAGUUAAUGAAUUUCCAA